rnacentral:tRNA from 2 species
GUCUCAGUAGCUCAGCUGGAUAGAGCAACGCCCUUCUAAGGCGUCGGUCGGGAGUUCGAAUAUCUCCUGGGACA